AGUUACUCGGGAGGCUGAGGCAGGAGAAUUGCUAGAAGGUGGAGGUAUCAGUGAGCUGAGAUCGCUCCACUGCACUUCAGCCUGGGCGACAAAGCAAGACUCUUUCUAAAAAAAA